UGAUAUCUGAACUCUGAUUAUCCCAGCAACAUAAAAGAGACGGCCGUGACGAAUUUAGAGGCAAAUCAACAGUUUGAAGGCAUAUUUGCUGGAAAAUCCAAACUGAACACAGUUAAUUCGCGACGAUCAGCUAUUACGAAUUCGAUAUGUGACUCAGAUCUAUUGAGAGAAACGAAGACAGCUAACGUAGUUGGAAAACAUCCACCGAUUAACAACUCUUCUGUCACCAAUAAUGCGAAAGUUGUUACAAGAAUAGAAUCAAAAUUAAUAAAAUCUUCGGAUACAGACUUUAUUUCAUUGGAUGAUGUCAACGGCGAAUAUUUCGUUUCUCGUUCUAAAUUACCUAUGUCUAAAACAAUUCGAACAAUCAUUAGAGAUACCACAAAGAAAAAAAAUCGUAUGCAGUCUAUAUUGACCCCCUUAAGUAAUAGGGUAUCUCCAGCAACCAACAGCUUUACAGAUUCCUCAACUGACGAUAUGGCUAACGUUGGCGAUUACUCUUCAAAAGGUUGCGUCAAUUGUAAGAUACUUAGUAAAAGAAUUCUAAGUUUAACAAAACGUUUAACAAAGAUUACGACAGUAUAUCGUGAUUUACGCAUUAAAUCAAACCGUUUAGCAUGUGCAUUAACAUCUCGUCUAUUGCCAAGUAAAGACAAUUUCAAUUUUAAGACAGUUCCCGGGUAUCCAUCUGCGGAAAAAUUAACUCAGCUCUCGAAUCACGCUGGAGAUAGUGAUUUCAUUUUCAUUAAACUUGUAAUGAAAGAACUCUGGCCACAGGGAUUUCACGGCAGAACUGUAACUGGUAGAGCAUCUAAUAAUCCUUCAGGUCGACCGAUUGAUGUCAGCAAUGCUAAUUCAUCAGUUCAUAUGCCCUUGGCAAACGAUAAUUCUGAGAAAGAACCACUUGAGAAAGAAAAGGUCAACUAUGUUAAAGAACGCCUUUAUGAAAGGAAAAUACUGACUGGAAUGGAUCCAACGACUGCUGCACAAGAAUCUGCGAGACAAUCCGGAAGACAUAUGGCAAUAGUAAUUGCAUAUUAUGCCAAAAUGGGACAUUUUUGAAGUUGAAUUAUAACAAAUAAUAUGCGUUGAAAUAUUACUUUAAUAAAUGGAUUGAAAUACAAAA